AAUUUACUUUAUUUAAAUAAAUUUUUUAUUUUUUGAAUUAUUUAKGUUAAUAAUGAACGUUUUAKGGGGAUGAGCUGGUAAGAUUAAACUAAAUUUUUAUUUUUAUGUGAUAAGUAGUAGGAUUAGAAUUUUCUUUCUUUUUAGUAUUUUAUAAUUUGUUAUUUAUUUAAUUUUGAUUUUUUGUUAAUUAGUUUUUUUAUAAAAAUGUAUAUUUUAAUUUUUUAUUUUUAGUAAUUAUUAUGUAAUUAGUAAAUUUAAUUUUAACUUUAUUAAUUUUUGUAAGGUAAGUUUAAGGAAUUCGGCAAUUAGUUUUUCGCCUGUUUAAUAAAAACAUGGUCUUUUGUUAAUGAUUUAAGAUCUAACCUGCCCAAUGAAAAUUUAAAUGGCCGCGGUAAUUUGACCGUGCGAAGGUAGCAUAAUCAAUAGUUUUUUAAUUGGAAGCUAGUAUGAAUGGUUGGACGAGAAAACUUCUGUCUCUUAUUUAGUUUAUUUGAAUUUUAUUUUUGAGUCAAAAAGCUUAAAUUUUUUUAAAAGACGAGAAGACCCUAUAGAGUUUUAUUAAAUAAUUUUAUUUUAUUGUAAGUAUUUUUUUAUAGUUUUAUUUAAUUUGGUUGGGGUGACUUUAAGAUUUAUUAAACUCUUAAUUUUUUAUUUCAAUAAUAGUUGUUUAUAUGAUCCAAUUAUUUUGAUUAANNNNNNNNNNNCCUUAGGGAUAACAGCGUUAUUUUUNNNNNNNNNNNNNUCGAAAGAAAAGAUUGCGACCUCGAUGUUGGAUAAAAUAAAC
rnacentral:rRNA from 1 species